rnacentral:rRNA from 1 species
CCUACGGGCGGCUGCAGUGGGGAAUAUUGGACAAUGGGGGCAACCCUGAUCCAGCCAUGCCGCGUGUGUGAAGAAGGCCCUCGGGUUGUAAAGCACUUUCAGUGAGGAAGAACGCCUGGUGGUUAAUACCCAUCAGGAAAGACAUCACUCACAGAAGAAGCACCGGCUAACUCCGUGCCAGCAGCCGCGGUAAUACGGAGGGUGCGAGCGUUAAUCGGAAUUACUGGGCGUAAAGCGCGCGUAGGUGGCUUGAUAAGCCGGUUGUGAAAGCCCCGGGCUCAACCUGGGAACGGCAUCCGGAACUGUCAAGCUAGAGUGCAGGCGAGGAAGGUAGAAUUCCCGGUGUAGCGGUGAAAUGCGUAGAGAUCGGGAGGAAUACCAGUGGCGAAGGCGGCCUUCUGGACUGACACUGACACUGAGGUGCGAAAGCGUGGGUAGCAAACAGGAUGAGAUACCCCUGUAGUC